UGCAAGUCGAACGAGUUCUCGUUGAUGAUCGGUGCUUGCACCGAGAUUCAACAUGGAACGAGUGGCGGACGGGUGAGUAACACGUGGGUAACCUGCCCUUAAGUGGGGGAUAACAUUUGGAAACAGAUGCUAAUACCGCAUAGAUCCAAGAACCGCAUGGUUCUUGGCUGAAAGAUGGCGUAAGCUAUCGCUUUUGGAUGGACCCGCGGCGUAUUAGCUAGUUGGUGAGGUAACGGCUCACCAAGGCGAUGAUACGUAGCCGAACUGAGAGGUUGAUCGGCCACAUUGGGACUGAGACACGGCCCAAACUCCUACGGGAGGCAGCAGUAGGGAAUCUUCCACAAUGGACGCAAGUCUGAUGGAGCAACGCCGCGUGAGUGAAGAAGGCUUUCGGGUCGUAAAACUCUGUUGUUGGAGAAGAAUGGUCGGCAGAGUAACUGUUGUCGGCGUGACGGUAUCCAACCAGAAAGCCACGGCUAACUACGUGCCAGCAGCCGCGGUAAUACGUAGGUGGCAAGCGUUAUCCGGAUUUAUUGGGCGUAAAGCGAGCGCAGGCGGUUUUUUAAGUCUGAUGUGAAAGCCCUCGGCUUAACCGAGGAAGCGCAUCGGAAACUGGGAAACUUGAGUGCAGAAGAGGACAGUGGAACUCCAUGUGUAGCGGUGAAAUGCGUAGAUAUAUGGAAGAACACCAGUGGCGAAGGCGGCUGUCUGGUCUGUAACUGACGCUGAGGCUCGAAAGCAUGGGUAGCGAACAGGAUUAGAUACCCUGGUAGUCCAUGCCGUAAACGAUGAAUGCUAGGUGUUGGAGGGUUUCCGCCCUUCAGUGCCGCAGCUAACGCAUUAAGCAUUCCGCCUGGGGAGUACGACCGCAAGGUGA
rnacentral:rRNA from 1 species